rnacentral:tmRNA from 1 species
GGGGGUGACAUGGCUUCGAUGCGGGAGGCUGAGUAUACACUGCAAGCCGCGGCGCUUGUACCGCGUUAACAACGAGCAGACACCAAUAGGUGCCAACGAACCUGCUUACGCCAUGGCUGCCUAAUUUAGGCUAAGUCAUGGUGCUGACCCAGAGAUGGUCAGCCGUCCGCCCCGCCUAUCACCGUCGAGGUGGGAACGGGCGUCAUAAUAGACGGUAGUGCAACCCAGUAGACGCCGAUAAGCUGGGCCAAGAGAACAUCGGCUAGUCACAGGUAUACCGCGUUGCUCCGGGUUCCCUGUGGCAAAACUGAAUAGAGCAACUAAGCUUGUAGAUGUGUGUGCUCGAAUCUCGUAGACGCGGGUUCGACUCCCGCCACCUCCACAA